rnacentral:lncRNA from 1 species
GAAACACUCUUUAGAAUUGUUAGAAACUAGAUUCUUUAGCAUUUAGGAUUGAAUUGGAAAAGAGUCAUUGUAACAAUGAUUAUAAAGACUGCUGUGUUGGCUUAGAAUUAAGUUAGACAGAAGAGGUAAAUGGAGCCAAUCUAGUUUUUUCCUUUUUCUAAGAAGAAUGAUAAAUUCAGGUUGGAAGGGAUCUCAGGAGGUGUCUAGUCCAGCCAUUUACUCAAAGCAGGCUCAGCUGUGAGGUCAGACCAGGUCACUCAAGGCUUCAUUCAGCUGGAUCUUCAAAACCUGCAAUGAUGGAGACUGUACAGCUUCUGUGGGCAACCCGCACCAUUGCUUAACUGUCCUCUGGGAUAAAAAUUUUCCUUAUAUCCAGCCUGAAAUUCUCAUUUCAAUUUAUGCCCAUUGUCUAUCAUCCUCUCACCACGCACCUUUGUGUAUAGGCUGUCUCCAUUUUCUCAAUAACUUCCCCAUAGGUGAAGUUAUUGAGGCUGGGAGGCUGCUGUUAGGUCCCUGCCAAACCUACCUCCUCUCCAGGCUGAAUAAGUCCCAUUUCCUUAGCCUCUCCUCACAGGGCAAGCGCUCAAAUACUGACCCUUGGUGGCUCCCCUGCUUGUAUCGACAACCAGAGGAUGGAGAUCUUGAGGUCUCUCUAUAUGGCAGCUCUUUCUCCAUUCAAUUUUCGGCAAAGAAGCAAGAUUUUUCCCUUAAAAAGAACUCUGUUAAUGCGAUAGACUUCCGUGCUACAGAACUGUAGGCCAGCCUUUAAGCUCUUCAAGCUAAAUCAACUGACCUCAAGUAGCGGUUUCCCUUGAGUAAAAGGAUGUCAAAUCUUUUGCUUCUGAUGAAUAUUUAAAGCAUGUAUAGUUGUUUAUUCUCCUGCUACAGCAUUGUACAAUGAAAAAACUGACUUUUUUUAAACACUCAGGCUCAACAUCUAAGCAAUAAGGAAGUAAACUAGAAAACUUAUUCAGAAAAAUCUGACUGUAUGACAUGUGCGUUUUCCGAGCAAUUCAAAGCAGAAUCAGCCCUGUUCUACUUG